UUUGGUGACCAUUGCGGCAGGGAUACACCCGGUGACAUCCCGAACCCGGCAGUUAAGUCUGCUUGCGCCUACGAUACUUGGCAUGUGCCAGGGAAAAUGGGCAGUCGCCAAAC
rnacentral:rRNA from 1 species